rnacentral:tRNA from 1 species
GGGCCCAUAGCUCAGCUGGCUAGAGCGCUUGCAUGGCAUGCAAGAGGUCGCGGGUUCAAAUCCCACUGGGUCCA